UGUGGUCAGUGGGUGAUACUGGUGGUAGGGGACAGUUGGAGUAGAUGAUCUUAAUGGUCUUUUCCUAUCUUAACGUUUCCAUGGUUCUAUGAUCCCAAUGCAGCCAAGGCCUGUGGAUACUACUGCAUUAAAACAACAACUUUUAUCUUCCUCUCAGAUGUGAAUUUAAUCUUUGCUUAUUUUUAUGCUUCAUAACUAGCGGCUGUUUCUGUAACCCCUGUGUUGAUUUCUCACACAUAGUCUAUGUGAUACCUACCCUUCAUGAGUAAUCCUUGUGUGUUUUGCACGAUUUGACAUAAAAGUUCUCUGCUAAUCAAAAGCUAUUGCUGCUGUGAUGUUUCUGUGCUGUGAAAUGACCUCCAGUCAAUGAAAGCCCCCUCCAAAACAUCCCUGCCUACACCUACUGCUUUGUGACCUUGUUUCCUGCGGGUGAAGGUGGGAAAGAAGAACACGGUUACCUUUGAGCAAAGAGCUGUGUGACCGUGGGUGUCAAUAAUAUCACCAGAACUUAGCUAUGGUGUUGCAGUGCCCUUUUGCUGGCUUUCUGUGCAAGCACAUAUCUGUAAUAGCAUCAUUUGUCGCAAAGAUUUCACUUAGUUUCUUCCUCUCAGGCAUGGUAUGUGAUCACUGAAUCUUGAAGUCAUUCCUCAGACAAGUCAUCUUGCCUUUGAUGAAGAUUUGUAAUCCUGGAAGGGCUGUUCAAAAUCUAUGCCAGUAAUUUUUCAUAUUUGGAGGUAUUAAUGAUGUACAAAUUCCUGGGUUCAGUACUGGCCAAGCUGCUACAGUCUAUUUUAUAUUGAAGUAAAUACAAAUGAUCGAAGCAGAACUUCUGGCUUGAACAUGUGCAAAUGCUACCAUUAUCAGCUGAAGUAAUUACAUGGCAUGCAUUUGUUUAAAUACUUAGUGUAGCUGCUGACCCUAUGGCAUCAUCUCCCUCUUUUGUAACAUCCAUGGACAUUUUGAGAGGUUUGCAUUUGCCAAUGGAGCUCCAUCCCUACUGUGUCCCCAGGCUUGAUGUACUGCAUGGUUUGGGACGCGGGACUGAUUUCUUACACGUGUCCUCUCUGACUCUUCAGGAAGGAUGGCAGCUAUUGAGGUUAUUACGUUGUUACCCCAUACUCCACCCAUGACUGCAGCACAAUCUCACUCUCUUGGCUGCUGUUUCAGAAACAGCCAGUGGAGUUGGCUCUGCAUGGAUACGCUGAGCUGAAUUUGGAGCAAACACCAGUCCCUGUGCUGUAUGUAAUUAGAAGAUGCUUCCGGUGGGUGAGAUGCUGGAGGAGUGCUUUGGCCAUGUCAAACCGCAGUCUCUCUCCAGAUUCAAAUCCACAACACCAUCAACUUUAGAGGUAUUUCAAACCUUCCUUUCUCCAAACAAAAUGACAUCUCUAACCUAACUCUUCCAUCCACCUCAGCGCUCUUGGAGAGAAGCCACAGGAACUGCUCCAUGUUACCCUCAGCACUAGGCUUCAUUUGGUACCUGGCACUACUCCCAUGGAAGUCAACUGGAAGAGGCCAACAGACUUCCCUGAAAGCACAGUUAGGAUACAACUGGGAAACUUGCUGGAUUAGUGGCAACUUCCCUGCUGCCAGUUCCUGUUUCUCAACACAAAUGAGUGACAUUUGGUGGCAAAAACAAGGAAUGAGAUUGGUAGCCUUUGGAAGCAAGAGAAGAUGGAGGGAUAUGGGGCCAGCAAAGCUGAGAAAUGAAGUGCAACAUUCUUUCCGAAGGACAAAAUCCCAGUUUAUUGUACACCAAGACACCUACGAGCAGAUAAAACCUUUAGACUGACUGCAAAACAACUUCUGUUUGGUUCUUCUGAUAUCCAUGGAGAAAAUCAUAGAAUCUUGAAGGUUGGAAAGACUGCCAGGUUCACCAAGUCCAACCAUUGACCCACUCCCAGCAUGCCCACUGACCACAUCCCUCAGCACCACAGCUUCACAGUUCUUGAACACCUUCAAGGGCAGUGACUCCACCACCCAAUAUCCAACCCAAAUCUCCCCUGGCACAACGUAAAGCAAUUACCUCUCGUCCCAUUGAGGCACUACUCAUGCCCACCAUUUCCUGGCAUCGUGACCAGCAGGGCUGGUUGCUCUCACUUCUGAAUGCGUUUCACCCUGAUAAAAUGCCAAAAUAUCCAAGAGCUGAAGGCUGGGAAGCAGAGUGGGUUCUUUUUACAGGCAGCAGCACCUUACCUGCACCCGUAUCAGCAGUGUGUCUGUCCUGUCUCUCUAGAAGAUGGAUGGAAUAGUGAUGGAGAACUUAACUGAAUAGUUUUCACACCUGGUACUCUUAUGACACACAGUAUGCUCUGUGCUAGGAAGCUGCUGCAGACGGCAUAUUAGGACAUCUGAGUGCAAAGCAGCUGAUAGGAGGGUGAACCAAUAAGACCAAGGUGAGUGCCUGUGAAACUUGGGAGUUGCUUGAAUGAGCCCAUCAAGGAGCCCUGCAGCAUCCCAAGGUUCUGCAGUGUAACCAGGAGGGCUGAACAGAGAGAGAGGACAGAUGAAUUGGCCCACUUUGGCUGGGGGAGACUAAAGAAAGGUCCAAUACACACUGCCAAAGGGAGGAGGAUGGACGGGGUGACACCUGAAGAUCCCUUUCAACAUCACCUCUCCAUUUGCACUUCACCAGCUGCCAGCACAUGAAGAUGGGUCUCCUCCAGACAACUUAGCUCCCAGUAAGCAAAGGCCAUCAUCCAUGGUGUAAAAGGAAAACGUGGACCCAAAACAAACAAAAGAAAAAUCACUGUGCCAGAGAUGCCCAGUUCAUUACUCAGUACAACAUAACAGAGCAAUGUUGCAAUUUGAAGCUCAGUGCAUCUGCCUUGCUCUAUAUACACUGUAGUCUUGAAUGCUUAUCACCUCCUGCUAAUGGCAGUAUUUGCCACAAAAACUUAAUUAUUUAUCUUCUCUGGGAGAGUAUUUUUCCUGAUUCAAGCCUUCAGGAGUGCAGUGCAGGAUGCAUUUGGCCCCACUGGGCAUUCUUAUACUCUCACCACUGAAAUCUGGAACAAAGGCCAAUAAUCUGGGACAAACUCUAAAAAUACAGCAGAUGCUCUGGGACGUGUUUUAUUGGUCCUUCUAUGUGUGCUUUGAGCGUGUCAGAAAGCACAAGGCCACAGGUAAGAGCUGAAAGCCAAAGCUGCAGCGUGGUCCAGCUGGCUGCAGAGACGGCAGCAGGAAGGAUGGGGUUGGUUGAAAUAUCCCCGCUGGCAUGGAUGAUUUCAGUGGCAUGAUGCUUCCAUGUGAACCUUCUCACUGAUGGAUUGCAAAUGGUUUUAAAGGGCCAAGUCCAGCUUUUUAAAUAAAACUUGGAAUUUGAAGGAUGAUGCUCUUCUGCCAACCAAACACCUAGGGAGGGAGGAAGGCAAGGGAGCUGGAGAGGCAUUUUGAGAAUGGUGCAUGCCUCCUAUCCUACCCACAGCACUGCGUGAGGAACCACGAUGGGAAAUGCAGCCAGAACACACCAUUUUGCUGCCCUGGGUCCCCCAGUCCGUGCUCCUCACCUGUUGCAGGCAAUGUGGGUUCCCUCACAGGGCUGAAGAGCGAUCAGAGGGGCUGCAUCACUGCCCUGCACGCUGCAAAAUAAAUCCACGUCAGUGCAUAAAGGGGGAGAGAAAGGAAACGCCGGGUCCCUUCCCUCCGUAUUUUCCGUGUUUUAUAACACCUCUGUCAGCACACAUUGCCAUUCACUGCAGAAAUUACAUCUCACGAGCGCUACAAUAGGAUUUGAAGACAAAUGACACGCGAGCACCGCAGCUCUGUGCCGGCUUAAGCGAUCCCAAUACCUUCAUCACAUACGGGGUAUCGGGAUGCACGCAGCCCACUUGUUCCAAAUGGCACACGGCAAAGAUUGAGCGUCACAGGACUCUGGGCGGCACGAAACCAGCCCGGACAGAAUGUGUUUUAAAUGCAGGAGGGCUUUCAGACCGCAGGGUGCAAUGAUGGCACCUAACCCUAACCCUAACCCUAACCCUAACCGCUACCUCCCUCCAGCCCCGUUUCCAAAACUCCUGAAGGUUGGUGAGGUUUUCGAGUGCCCUCGUGCCCAGGCUGUAACAUUCCCAUCCGCCAUACAGCUCCUGUGCUUUCAAGUUGCAAGAGGUGAAAACAUUUUAGCUUUUCGGGCGGGUAAACACCUCCCUGUGAAACAAUGUAAGCGAGGCGGAUGCCGCCCAGGUGCACAGGGGAUAAAGGAGAACAGGGGGGGAUUGCUUACACAGGGGCAAAACUCACCCUGGGGGCCAUAGGGCACAAAUUGGGAUGCUGGGAAAGGGACUCCGUGACGGUGCUGUGAUUGAAACCCUGGGCAGCCUGGUCUAGUAUUAAAUGGGGAGGUUGGUGGCCCUGCAUGCAGCAGGGGGGUUGGAGAUUCAUGAUCCCUGAGGUCCCUUCCAACCCAGGCCAUUCUGUGAUUCUGUGUGUGAUUCUGUGACUGGGGAGCCCGACUGGAGGGCUGCGCUUCUCUUGGUCAGAGCUGAACAUGCAGG
ensembl:lncRNA